CUAGGAUGGCUUCUGCUGAUAUUAUGUGUGUUGGUUCGAAAGUUGUGCGAGAAAAGUUCUCUGGCAUCAUCAGGAAYGCUCUGAGGAAUGCAAGGAAGCUAUUCCAUCUUUGAUUUUUGCUGCUGCAAGAUUUGCUGAUUUGCCUGAAUUGAGGGAAGUCAGAAGUUUAUUUACURAGAGAUGUGGGAAUUAUCUUGAACCUUAUGUCAACCAAGAGUUUGUCAAAAAGUUGAAAYCAGACCCUCCCACUAAGGAAAUGAAGCUUCAAAUGAUGCAAGAGGUUGCACUUGAAUCUGAUAUACAGUGGGAUUCCAAGGCUUUGGAUCAGUCAUUGUAUAAACCACCUCCAUUUGUACAAAUUGACCGAGAACUGAAAAGGGAGAGGAGAAAGACAGUUUGAUCGAGAAUCUGCCAUAAGGUCGAGAUUAAGGAAACAAGAAAAACAAAGUAUAUCUCUGAACCUGGUGGUCAAUUUGAACUUAGUGGUGCUCCUGUUGAAACUCUCCAUCAAACUUGUGUAGAAGUUAAUUCACACCUUUACCAGGUUUGUAGCUUGAUGUUACAUGAACUUGUGCAGGCAACUCUUGCUUAUCGAAAUUUGAAACUUGGAAUGUCUCUCCACAUACAAGUUUAAUUGCAUUCAUGGUCCUGGAUUAGAACAUGCAAACUUGCCUAUUUAGGUAGA